CAGCCGCCACGGUAAUACGAAGGGGGCUAGCGUUGUUCGGAUUUACUGGGCGUAAAGGGCGCGUAGGCGGGCGAAUAAGUCAGGGGUGAGAUCCCAAGGCUCAACCUUGGAACUGCCUUUGAUACUGUUUGUCUUGAGUUCGAGAGAGGUAAGUGGAACUGCGAGUGUAGAGGUGAAAUUCGUAGAUAUUCGCAAGAACACCAGUGGCGAAGGCGGCUUACUGGCUCGAAACUGACGCUGAGGCGCGAAAGCGUGGGGAGCAAACAGGAUUAGAUACCCCAGUAGUCCCUGUCUCUUAUAC
rnacentral:rRNA from 1 species